GUAUUUUGAAUUGUUUUAUUCAUAAUAUUUUUCAGACAAAGAGUUGAGAUAAUAGUUGAUGUUUGGGGCUGAUCUCUCGAAAGAAAUCAACCCUGACAUUGCACACAAGGUGGAUAUGGAUUGAAAAAGUGCCAUAAAACACUUAUUGUGAAUGAUCCUUCCGCAGGUUCACCUACGGAAA
rnacentral:misc_RNA from 1 species